rnacentral:lncRNA from 1 species
UUUUUUUUUUUUUUUUGUCAGCAACGAUACAUGUGUAUAAUCUACUCUAUCCUAAUCUAGGGGGAGGGGGAGCCUAAGGGGGCUGUUGUAGGAGCUAGUGGGUAUACAGACUCAACUAGACCAAGGAAGUGCUAUGGCACAACCCUUAGAUUUUUUUCGCUGCUGGUGAGGGUUCACACAGCCCAAGGAGGGACUUAAUCCCUCCCAGGUGGCCACUGAGCCAUUGGCCCAGUGGUUAAUUGGAUCAGAAUAGAAUGAACUGAAGAGGCGCUUGAUCUAGAGAAAGCUCCAAGGCUAGUAAUAUUGAUCAUGCAUCACAAAUACGUGAUUAAAGAUCCAUAAAACAUGUUUUUUUAUGUUUCUUUUUCUUUAUUUUUUUAAAAAAAUCUUUCUUGGGAUGGGUUUGGGAACACUGCACGGCUGGAAAUUAUAUUGACUAGAACGAAAGUUUAACACCAAAUAAAUUGAUCAAUCAACACAACAAGCUCCCGGAUACAACACAACAAGCGCAGUGGGAUUAGUCGGGCCCGGAAUAUUACUCUGUUGAAUUCCGAAUAAUCAUCAGAUACUCACUGUGUCCGAAAAAAAAACACACACACACACACACACACACACACAACAAGCUCAAUUAAUGUAAUUGAGAAUAUUAAAGAAUGCAUGAUUAACAAGUAUUUAAUGGACUCUCGUUAAGAGGAGUUUCAAAUAUUAAUUUUUUUAAAAAAAUGUAAUUAAUUUAGAGAGUGUCACAAUUUAAAAGGUGCAAUAAUUGUGAGUGUCUGUAUUUAUAUAAUAAUAAUUUAAGUGUUUUAACAGGUUCCCGUUAAGUCACGUUUGAAAAAUCUAAUAAAAAUAAUAUGCAAAUCAACUUUGCCGGAUGCUGGCUGACCAGCUGUUUGCCUUCACACUUACCCUUCAACGGCGAAACGUACUAUUCUGCCACUUUUACAAUAGUUAGGACAAUAGUUAGUAGUAUGUAUAUAUAUUCAUCGGAGAAACCAACUUAAUGUGGGAUGCAAGUAUAGCUCAUAUUCACCUUUCUGCAACCUUCCCUCAGACCAUAUACCCGACAAUCCAUCAAAGCCCAUAAAGAGAAAGAGAUCAUCAUCAUGGUUUCGUCUCGGAAUCCGAGUUCCAUAGCAUCAGAAAGAGAAGUUGCUGAUAAUCUUCAACCGACUGGAAAUGAUCAAAAGCAGGAGCUUGAUGCUGGAGCCCUCUUUGUCCUCAAAUCUAAAGGUAAGUUGUUCUCUUGCUUGCCACCCUUAUCAGAAAUUUUUUUUUUUUUUGGUAAAUAUCAGAAUUUUUCAUUUGUUCCUCUUUUCUUGCUUUCCUUUCUUUAUUUGUUCUUUUCUUCUUGCCCAUUUCAUUAAAGUCCAUCAACGCAUAUUCACCUUUGACUAAACGCCGUCGAUGAAAUAGACAUGCACGAUUGAUGAUUAUCAUAAUAAAUCUUUAAAUUUCAAGAAAGAGGUGCUUUUUGGCAGUAAAUUUUUUUGUUUUUUUUGCACUUUUAGAACUAUCUGUGCUUCUUUAAGAUAGGAGAUGGUGUUGCUAUGAGCUCUUUUCUGCAUUAAUAAUGCAGUAAUUCCCACAUACAAAUACAAUGGAUCAAUACUUUAACAAGUAUCCACUUUGUCUUUUUGCUAAAAUUGUACAAAAAUGGAGAAAAAUAUUCCACAUACCCUAAACUCUCAUGGUGCCCCUUAUCUAGUUAUAGCUCAGGUCCACGAUAACAACUUUUAUGAAUAUAUGGCCUAAUAUCGCAGUAUUCUUUUUCCAUAGAAAAAAUGGUCUUCGAGUCGAUCUUCCCAACUUAUUACAAGCAAGUUUGUCAAUUUGGAUCAUGAAGUGAAUGCAUUAGCUGUUGAGUUUCCAAGCUUCCAUUUUCUUGAAAUAAUUGCUUGUGUAUCAUUAUUGGGAUUUUGACAAUAAGCUGAUUUUUUUCACAUGAAAACUUCUUCUUGGCUGUGUACCAAAUAUUAGGCUUGAAAAUUAGUAGUAGUAUACUAGAAGGAAUGGGAAGAAAGAACCGGACAGGAGAAGUGUGAGAACGGAAAUUGAGAUGAGACAUGUUUGUUUUGCAUUAAUUCGUGGCUGGUUUCGAGAUUCUAUCAGCAAUUUUAAAAGAACCAAAAUUUUCUAUGACCAAGAAAUGCACAUGUCUUCGGGUAUGGUCAACUUGGUAAGCAAAUAAAUUAUAUAUAGUUUCUUUUCUUUUGCAUAUCCAACAAAUAUAAUGUUCCUUGAAUAUAAUUUCUCAUUACCAAUACAAAGGUACAUUGAGGAUUAAUUCAUUAUUUUAUAAUUAGCUCACUACUUUUCUUUUUUUUUUAAAAAAAAAAAAAUUCAACUUCCAAACUAGACCAAAACUAAUAUAUAUAUAUUCCACAGAAGACAUAUGUGUUAUUUUUCAUCUUUUCAUUUUUAUUCUCCUAUAAUCAAUCUGUAAACUCUUUCUAAAUCCAAAAGUAUACCUACCUGAAUAAGGUUGCUGAAUUCAGUGGAAGGUGACAUAUGUGUUAUUGACUCUUGUCUUGUAUAUGGUGGCUAAAGAUAAGAAUACUAGUAGUGUGAUUCUCAGUUUUUUUUUUUUUUUUUGGUUGGGUGGGGAGCAGGAUCGUGGAUGCAUUGUGGAUAUCACUUGACAACUUCCAUAGUUGCACCUCCACUUCUGAGUCUGCCAUUUGCCUUUGCUUCACUUGGAUGGGCCGCCGGAGUGAUUAGUCUUGUCAUCGGAGCUGCUGUCACAUUCUACUCCUACAAUUUGAUAUCUCUAGUGCUCGAACACCAUGCUCAACUGGGUCACCGGCAACUCAGAUUCCGGGACAUGGCUACUGAUAUUUUAGGUAAAUUCUCCCCAAACCCCCUCCCCCAACCCCCACAAAAAUCUCGGAAAAAAAAAAUUAAUAGAAUUAAUUUUUUAUGCAUUGUCAAUAUAAGAAUUUUAUUAACUCUGCACAAAUGUAUAUAAAAAUUUUUUGAAAAGUUAGUCCUGAUUAAAAAUGAAAAUUCUGAUAUGAACCCAUUUUGCUGACUUUUUGUUUCACGAGGACAUGCAAUCUCGCUCCAUUAUCAGGUAUACAUAUUUAUAAGAAAAAAUUUGACUAGAUCGAGUGUAUAAAAGAAGGCCUCAAUAAUAAGUGAUCCCAAUCCAAUAAUAGUUCGAUGGACGAUGCUAGAGCGUACUUUAGAGUCCAAAACUUUGGUUCAAACUUAGAAUUGCUUCUCUUGGUGACUUCAUGUUAAAGAGUGCCGUAAUGCUCUAUUUGUUCUAGUAUUUGUUUUCGGUUGACCAGACCCCUAAGCGGUGGUAUUGGUGUUGAGAGUUGAAACUGCCAUUUGGCCUUUUCGACUCUUAUCAAUAUUUUUGAUCGGUGGCCAUUAUAAAAAUUCAAAGAAUACCUAUUUCUUAAUAGUCAAAAGAAAACGCCAGCCAUCAAACCACGACCCAACUGACUCACGAUACAGGAUUUCUGAAGCUGAGAAUUCUGCAUCGACAAUUUCUGUAGCUAGUAAGGAAAAUACUAACCCUGCCUCUAUAAAGCUGUCGCGAGUCUUUUUCAAGUUUAUUUCAACCUAAGUUUUUUUUUUUAAAAAAAAUUCUAAAUAAAUUUAUCUGUUCUAUUAGGAUCACCAUUCUUGUCUUGUCUUGUAAAUGAAAAUUGUACUGGUUUAAUUAGUUUUCGUUCAUCAUAGUAGAGAAGAAAAAUAGAACCGCUAAUAAAUUUAUUUUACUUCUAAUUCAAUUUAGGAAAACCUCUUUUAUGUUGAAAAUAAAGAGGAAAACCUCUUUUUGAUUUUACAUGAGAGUUUGAGCGCUACGUUCUGCGGGCGUUCCAUUUGGACUGCAACAGUAUCAGAAUCCUUUUGAUCCCUUUAUCAUUGCCAAAGUCCCACACGUAAGCCCUUCAGCUGUUAUUGUCUAUGUUGGUCUCAUUCAUAGAUGUCAAAGUUUUCUUUAUCCAAGACAAAAUAGAUGUCACAAUUUUGGUAAGAAAUCUUGUGAUUUUUAUUGCGAUAUUAAUAAGGAUUUUGUAUAUGUGACGUGCAUUUGAACACGUUAAAAUAUAAAUCAUUAGUGUAUAAAAGAUUAUUCCAUUAACGAUGUUUUUCUUUUUCUUUUUUUUUUUGUGAUUGGAUUAGUUCUUGGUCAAAACUGAAAAGAUAGGUACUUAACUGCAUGUGGACACUCAAGAAUAUUCUAGGAUGAUUGCACAAGUGAAUUUCAUUUAGAAUUGAUGAUAUUUUCUUUUUCACAUUAUGUUGUUAUACUAGAUAUUUAACUUCAAAUGCAAUCGUCUCGUAUUUUUCUUCUUACAAGUUACAAAUUCAACUUUCAAUACGUACAAGUAGGAAAGACCUUCCUACAUUUUUUGAGUAUAUGUCAAAAAAGAUUAUCAAGAAAGAAAGACUGGACACAUCGGCCAAAUGACAAGGAAGUUCCUACCGACCUCUUAAAUUCUAGAAUAAUUGCAGAUUUUCCUUUCUCGUUCCAUGGAUUAGUACCUAUUCUGCAUGACAUUGGCUUAUUCAUAAUCCAACCGAAUUCUGGCCUUACAAAUCCAAUUUUGGCAGGACCAAAAUGGGGAAAAUUUUAUGUAGGUCCAGUCCAGUUCUUGGUGUGCUAUGGUGCAGUUGUAGCCUCUACUCUUCUGGGAGGGCAGUGCUUGAAGGUCUGUUUCGUUUUAACAAUAUGUUUCUAACACCACUUUCCUUCAGCCCAAGAAAUUUUGAGCAACUGAGCAUGAAAAUGAUGGACGGGGCAUACCAUAAGAAAGAUAAUGAUAACAAUAAACCAUACGUUGAUGAAGAAGAAUACAGAUUUACUCAACCUGUCGACUCCUUUUGCAGGCAAUCUACGUGUUGGUAAAUCCAAAUGGAGAUAUGAAGCUCUAUGAAUUUGUGAUCAUAUUUGGAGGGCUAAUGCUGAUUUUAGCUCAGAUGCCAUCUUUUCAUUCGCUUAGGCAUAUCAAUCUGGUCUCUUUAGUACUCUGUCUGGCCUACAGCGCCUGUGCCACUGCAGGCUCUAUUUACCUUGGUAAGUACUAUUAAGUAAUGUCGGUACUGCUAAUUGAAACAGCCUUUAUUUGAUAGAAAGAUGGUAUAUAAACUUUGGCUGCAUAAUUUUUUCUCAGGAAAUUCAUCUAAGGGACCAAACAAGAACUACUCCUUGAGUGGUGGUACUGAAACUAAAGUUUUUGGCAUCUUCAAUUCGCUGGCCAUUAUUGCCACCACUUAUGGAAAUGGGAUCAUUCCAGAAAUUCAGGUCCCUUUUCAUUCCACUCAAACUUUGACCAAACAAAUAAAGAUUAAGAUAGAUGGCUAUAUGACUUUUUUUUGCAGGAUUAAAAGGUUUUCAAGGUAUCCAUGCAAAUGUACAAACUUAUUGUAUCAAUCCUAAUGGAACAUUUCUGAUCAUUUAUUUACAGGCGACAUUAGCACCUCCAGUAAAAGGCAAGAUGUUCAAGGGACUCUCUGUUUGUUACAGCGUAGUCACACUGACCUUCUUUACCGUAGGCAUUUCUGGCUAUUGGGCCUUUGGCAAUGAAGCUGAAAGUCUAAUCCUAAGCAACUUCUCAGAUAAUGGAAAAGCUUUGCUGCCCAAGUGGUUCAUUUUUAUGACCAAUACUUUCACCAUUCUCCAACUAUCAGCUGUUGCUGUGGUAAAGACCAAACACUAUUUAACUUUUAGCACAUUCUCUCUGAGUAAUCAAAACCCAAAUAUAUGAGCAGCCAACCCCAAAAAAAAAAAAAAGAAACAAGAUCGUAAAAAUUUUGGAAUGUAAUGUUUAUUGUUCAUUACAUAUAAAUUUUCUCCUUAUACCGUUUAGCUGUCUAUAUUAGUCAGGAAUUUAGGAUUUAGAGAUGAUACUUUGUCUCACUUUUUGAAGCUUUUGACAAAUUGAAAUCAUAAAUUCUUUCAGUGACAUGAGUUUUUCCUACAAGUUAAAGUGGAGCUUAGGGCACUCUUUCUUACAAGUGUUCUGCAUCAAAUUGGCAUAAUAACAACAUAGCAAAUUAUGACUUCUGCCACAGGUGUACUUGCAGCCUACAAAUGAAGUUCUUGAAAGUACGUUUGCAGACCCUAAGAGCAGUGAAUUCUCUGUUCGAAAUAUUGUUCCAAGGGUAAUAUUGCGGUCCAUAUCAGUUGUUAUAUCAACUACAAUUGCAGCUAUGCUUCCAUUUUUUGGAGACGUUAAUGCUUUGCUUGGAGCUUUUGGUUUCAUGCCACUCGAUUUUGUCCUUCCUGUUGUCUUCUUCAACUUGACAUUCAAGCCAUCAAAGAGAAGCCCCAUUUUUUGGUUAAAUGUCACUAUAGCCGUGGUUUUCGGUACUUUGGGGGUCAUAGGAGCAGUGGCUGCAGUGAGACAAAUUAGUCUUGAUGCUAAAAAUUACAGGUUAUUUGCCAAUGUAUGAUUAGAUAACCAUGGCUAGAAGCAAAUUAUACAGCGAUCUUAUUUUGAUGUACCAAAAGCUUUCACCUGUCACUGUCAAAUAUCUAUUAGCUAUAGCACAUUUUUUAUCAUUUUUUCGACAAAUAAAGUACAAUUGCUUGUAUCCGAUGAGAUAUUCAGGCAAAACUGACCUAUUUGAUUAGUGAAUUCAUGGUUGCCACCAUGGCUAGCAGCAAAUUAUACAGCGUUCUUAUUUUGAUAUACCAAAAGCAUUCACCUGUAACGUAUGUAUUAGCUAUAGCACUCUUUUUUGUUUUUUUUUUGGUUGACAUAGAAAGUACAGCAACUUGUAUCUGAUAAGAUAUUUAAACAAAACUGAUCGAUUUGAUUAGUAAAUUCAAAGUUGCCAGCCUUAAUCAAUUAGCCAUUUAAUGAAAUGAUCUCACGUUUCACCAGAAUCUACCACUCUUUCUUGGUUCAACAUAAAAAGAGUAACCCUCUGUUCAGUGUCUACAGCUCCUAGAGCUAGCUAACAAAAAGUGCUAUUCAACACCUACAAAAUCCCUCAAAAAACUAUGGACCGCUCCAUCAAUCAGCCAAAUGAAGGCAAGGAUCUUGAAAUUAUUAAAUUACUUGGGCUGUUGCUUCUUUACUCAGAAGAAAAGUUCAAACAAUGAGAAACUAUAGAUGGUAACACGUCAUUCAACUUCAUCCAAAUGUCCGAAGAGUUCUUGCCAAUGAAUUGCAGCUUCUUCAGGUGACCGAAGGGACCAUAUAUGAUUGUUGGCCUGCUCACGUUUCUCGAGGAUUUCCUGCAUUUAGAAGACUAAAUUGGUAAUCGGUUGAAAAGCAUAAAACAGAAGCACUAUGGAAUAUAAUCCGACUUUUCAUACUCCUUCCAAAAAGAAAAGUCAUCUAAGAAUAAUCUGAAGGUCAUGAAGUAAUAAGAGGGAAACAAUAGCAGGAUCAAAUCCCAAGUACAAGCAUUAAUGACAACAGUGUCUGGCGAAUUGUUUUCCAGAUGUUCCUCUGAACAUGAUGACAGCUGAUUUAAUAAAUAAGCAGAAAAAGAAUCCACCAUUUUCCAGAGUGGUCAUGUGCAUUGAUAAAUUUAUAGUUUUUGCUUCUAGGCACCAACUUCAGAAGCAAUGCCACACCAUGUUAUUUGAACACAGCACUUAUUGAAUAUGCUUUUGAUUUUUUUUUUAGCCAAAAUUAACCACCAAUGGAUUGUAGUUAAAAUACCACAAAGAUGGCUAAGGAGAAACGGAAUGCUAAGACGCUGGCUUUUACGUAUCACAACUUACUGUACUGUCACACCCAGUUAGAGAAACUACACUUGCAUAUCAGUCAGGAACUAUUAACUUCUUAGCUGGUAAAAGAUCCAAAAAUGCAAUAAGGCAAUGACAAUUUGGAAACAGUAGGGAAAACAAGCAUCCCUCAAUGCACCUAUAUGGCAUAAAUCUUCAACAAAUGCUCUCAGUAUUGAAACAACAUGCCAUGGUACCGAUCUUAAACUAGUCCAGUGAAGCACAACUUUUGGAUUUAUUGUCUCAUGCACAUUGCAGCAAAUAAACAAAGCAAAAUGACCGAGUUGGCUGUUAUUUUCUGUAGGGGCAAUCCAAAUCUUUUUAAGAUUUAUUUCAAGAAAUAGCAAAUCAUCAUUUAAUUUCUGUGCAGUACCAAACAGUAAUUAAUAGGUCAAAGAAUAAUCCGACAAACCCCACAAUUAAUAAAAUGUUUUUACCUUAAACUUACUGCAACCUUUAUUUAGGAACUCAGACUUCCUAUUUAAAAAGUGGCAAUCCAAAUGUAGUCAAGAAGAAAUUUAAGGACGAAAUAGAGUUGAUUCCUCUUUUAGCUACAUAUGAUGCUCAGAAGUACUUGGAAACUUAACUUUCUCAUGGUCUUGAUUGUUUGUCCCAUAAAAUUAAAAACCGGUAGGUCCAAAAUACGGUAGUUGAUUAUCAUUCCAAGCAUAAUCAUGGGGAUCAAAAUUGCACCAAUUAUUUUCUCUGAUAAUAGUAUUUUAACUGUCCAAGUUACUUUCUCAACACUAAAUGCUGGGGUUUUUUGGAUACGAAAUCUAUCACCUAGAUAUGAACAUUUAAGCACUGGAUAUGUUUAGUAUUUGCUUGGGGCUAACCAGGGAUCUAGUUCCCCUACUUAAUGGGGGAAAUUACACGAACUCUGAGAAUAACACGUAGUUGUCUUUUACUGUUCUUACUGCAGUUUGUUAUGUUCUGUAGCACAACUACUCUCAGUUCUAGCCAAAACCUUCAGAAUCCAAAUGUCAUGUUCAAAGUAUUGUCUAAUUAGUUCAUAGUUAAAACAAUACAACAGCCUAGUUCAAACAAAAAACCAGGAACCCGCAUCUGCUUUAAGGGUAUAUUACCCUCUAAUGACGUAGAAAGGAAGUUUAGAAGCCAAAUCAAGCUUGACAUGAGGAAAACAUUUGAUAAAUAGAAGAAAAUAAUCAGCUUUGUCCCUGGCCAUUUAAAUUAGAACAGCCUAUGCCUAUGCCUUUCAAGAUGCUGUUAAUCAAUGCAUUUUCAGUUUUACAUCAAGCUAUGACAAUGGCCUUUCACCAAUUGAGGAAGAGGGUCCUUGUGAUUUGCACAAUAAAAAUAAAUUAUACAGACCUCCAGCUCAGAAGGUCUCUUGGUUUUGAGGUUUAGACAAUCAAAUAGAGCAUUCCACUUUGCGGAACAAUUAUCCAGCCAACCCAUCCGAUAGUAUUGCUGCAUCUGAUGUACAGGUGCUGCAAAUCACAAUUUUUUACCACUCAGUCCAACGAGUCAACCACCCAAAAUAAAUAGAAAUAGAAAUAGAAAUAAAACUGCUGUUCAGAUUGUCGAGUUGAAUACAACGAGAAGCAAGAAAGAAUUGUAGAAAGACAUCUCUAUAUCUGAAAGGCAUGAUGAUGAUAAACCUUUACGUAAAAUCAGACAGAUAAUUUUAGAAUCUGGAAUAUUUCUGGGCUACAAUAGAAUUUAAUUGAUACUGUAAAUACCAAUUAAUGCUCUCAAGAAUUUAGGUCCACGGAAACAUAUAAUCAGCAAACUAUAAAUUACCAACUUUAAUUCUGUGAAAUGAGGAUGAAAAGUCAAUGAUAAAGUGAGUAGGGCAAAGAGAGAGAAGGGAGAGCGGGUGUACAAUAGCAAAACCAGAGCGCAUCGAAGUAGGUGGAGCACGACAACUUCCGGCGCGGUGCUGUGGCGUCGGCUACCUCCGAGCUCAUCUUCACCUUAAUUAGUGGAGUACUACUCUGAAACUGCCCUUCCACCUAUGAGCAUGUGUAUUAUGUACUAUUACGCAGGCAGUGGAUUCCUCUUUCUUUUUCUUUUUCUUUUUUUUAGGCGAAAAAUACACGUUAACUUCACAUUCUUCCGUCUCUCGAUUUACCAUAUAAACUGUUGAUGACAAAUCUCUCAAAAUAAUGUUGAAAAAAAUAUAUCGCAAAAACGGCGACGGGCUAAUUUGUUAAAUAGCAUCUAAUCUCAAGAGUGAAAUAAAUGGGCACACUUAUAUAGGACUAAAUAAGUAUUAGUAUAUGUUAAGCUAAAUCCAACUACAAAGUGGAACAUAAUUUAAAUCCAACUUCUUCAAGAUUUCGAGCUAAAAAGUGGACUAAAUAAGUACCAAGAAGCUAAAUCCAACUAAAAAGUGGAAAAAAAAAAUCUUUGUUCUAUCUUAAUUUUGAACACAACUUCUUCAAGAUUUCGAUAUAGCCUUCCAUGUAAGGUUACAAAUCAACAUUUUUCUACAAAAAUCAGGUGGAGAUGGUAAAUCGGACGUAAUUUCCAUAAAGAUGAAGUUGGUUUUACUAAGAGUUAUAAUCAUUUUACAAGUUUGGCCAAAUUUUGAAUUUUGCCAAUAACACAAGAUACAACACCGAUGCAGCUACAACAAUCAUCAGCUUCUGAGUCCUGACCACUGACCACUGACCAGUGUCUCCAAUAUGGGCCCUUAGUAGAAAAUUCCUAAAUCCCGCAUAAU